CAUUUUCGGGGUCGUGAUUUCCCUGCUCAUCCUCGAAUUCUUCUUCUACCUCUUCUUCAUUAAAGGGCGAUGAGUCUUUAAUGGAAAAGGAAAACAUAACUCGCAAUCUUGCAUUUAUAAGCACCUUGGGUUACGAGGUCUAAGCAAAGAGGAAGUUCACGUUGAAAGACAAGAAUCUUGCGACGUUCUUCUUCAAGAGCUUCGAUGUAUUGACCACAUUCCUCCUGGUUGUAGUCCAUAUUGCGUAUCUUCUUAAUCAUGGUGCUUUAGGGAUAAAUUAAUAAUUCACCUCUAAUUUAAGAUUUAUUCUGUUUAGAGAGAAGGAUCAAUACAUGUAUAUAUAUGUCUCCAUAAACCUCUCAAGGAUCACUAUCUUGAUAGAAUAAAAAACAUAGUCGGCAUGUCGCAUUACAAGACGAAUCUUGCGGUUCAUGUUUUUAUAUUUUAUACGCCUUGAUGUGCUUAAAUAUUACGUUUAUAAAAGACACAACUAAUGGUUAUUUAUUUUGUUAUGGUAUAGUAGUAGAUAGGGAGUGGUGAAUAUUCGGUACUGUGAUUCCGAGUUUUUAGUUAUGUAAGAAUAAACUGUUGUAAAUAAAAGGCACUUGAAAAUUUAAUAAAGUAUUGGUUUUCUAUUCUUUGGGAUUUUAUUUAAAAUUGAAUUUAAGAAAAUAAAAGUCAAAUAUAAAUGCGGAAAUUAAGUAUUGUUUAUAUUAAAGUUGCAUUUUUAUAAAAACAAAUUACAGUUGUAUUCUAUAAAGUAUGAAGAAAGCUAUAUUCGAUUAUUCAUGCUAUAAAUCAAGUUAAAUUUUAUAAUUUUGAACCAAAUUAUAAUGGAUACAGUCGGAGUCUUUCCGGGUGCAACUGGAUUUACUAAUUAGAAUCAAAGGGUAGGGAAUAACUUAAAAAAACGAAUCUCAUUCCAUUAAUUUUUGUGGAAUAUGUAAAAAGUGGAACAUAGCUAUAACACUUUUUUUUGUUGAAGUUAUGACACAUUUAUGAUUAAAAAUCGUGAAUAAAUUAUAGAAUGAGAUGAAAUUAAAUUCUAUUUUUGUUUCCAUAAUUUCAUUAUUUGAUUUAUUUACAUUUUUUGUUCCUUUUAUUCAUUCCUAAAUUUUGACUACCAGCCUUCGUGUUAUAGUAUUUUCUCUGGCAAUAAUCAUAUAAUUAUUUGUUAUUAUUAUGAAUUUUUGAAUAAAAAUGCUGGCUUGUUGUAAGUACUAAAUACUUAGAUAAACCCGGAAAGAAAAGUGGCAUGCAUGAGCUUGCUAUAGUUGUACAAAAUUGUCAAUAUAUGAUGAGAUCUAGGUUUUGUUAAAGGAUGAUCAAUAAACUUGUACUGACCAAUAUAUGACUUCAAACUCAAAAGCCAAAUGUCUCUUCAUAAAGAAGCCAAAUCAUGGAGAAGGGAAAAAAAAAAGCUGUACAAGAAGAUAACCACAUUUAAGGAUUUUUCCAUCUCUAUUAUUUCAUA